rnacentral:tRNA from 1 species
GGGCCUGUAGCUCAAUUGGUCAGAGCCGCGGCUCAGUAACCGCUUGGUUGGGGGUUCGAGUCCCUCCGGGCCCACCA